AAUUUUCGGCAAUGGGGGCAACCCUGACCGAGCGACGCCGCGUGAGUGAAGAAGGUCUUCGGAUUGUAAAGCUCUGUUGUAAGGGAAGAACCGUACCAGUAGGGAAUGACUGUUACCUGACGGUACCUUACCAGCAAGCCACGGCUAACUACGUGCCAGCAGCCGCGGUUAUACGUAGGUGGCAAGCGUUACCCUGAAGUAUUGGGCGUAAAGGGAGCGCAGGCGGCUUAUUAAGUCUGAGGUUAAAGUGCGGGGCUCAACCCCGUGAUGCCUAAGAAACUGGUAGGCUAGAGUGCAGGAGAGGUGAGUGGAAUUCCAUGUGUAGCGGUAAAAUGCGUAGAUAUAUGGAGGAACACCAGUGGCGAAGGCGGCUCACUGGCCUGUAACUGACGCUGAGGCUCGAAAGCGUGGGGAGCAAAUA
rnacentral:rRNA from 1 species